rnacentral:rRNA from 1 species
AAUAGCCCAGCACUGAAUCCCGUCGUUGUAACGGCGGCGGGAGAUGUGGUGUUCGGGAGGUUCCGCUUUCUCGUCGUUGUCUUCUCCUGUCCAAGUUCGUCUUGAACGGGGCCGUUUUCCCGUAGAGGGUGCCAGGCCCGUAGCGACGGAGGACGGCGGCGAGAGGGACUCUCCUCAGAGUCGGGUUGCUUGAGAGUGCAGCCCUAAGCGGGUGGUAAACUCCAUCUAAGGCUAAAUAUUACCGCGAGACCGAUAGCGAACAAGUACCGUA